rnacentral:rRNA from 1 species
AGCGAACGUUAGCGGCGCGCCUAACACAUGCAAGUCGAGCGAGAAUUGGGGCUUCGGCUCCAUAGUAAAGCGGCGCACGGGUGAGUAAUACGUAGGUAAUCUGCCUCUUGGCCGGGGACAACCUUCCGAAAGGAGGGCUAAUACCGGAUAAGACCACGCCGACCACGGUCGGAGGGGUAAAAGGUGGCCUCUUCAUGAAAGCUACCACCGAGAGAUGAGCCUGCGUCCCAUCAGCUAGNGGUAAGGUAACGGCUUACCAAGGCGAAGACGGGUAGCUGGUCUGAGAGGACGAUCAGCCACACUGGAACUGAGACACGGUCCAGACUCCUACGGGAGGCAGCAGUGGGGAAUUGUUCACAAUGGGCGCAAGCCUGAUGACGCAACGCCGCGUGGGGGAUGAAGGUCUUC